CACUAGUAGCUCAGUAUCUUAGAGCGUCG
rnacentral:tRNA from 4 species